GCUCUGAAAAUGGACCCUUCUUCACCUUCUUUAUAAACAAAAUACACGAGAAGUAAAGAUACUCGUUCGAAAAAUUGUCUAGUAUAUCCUGACUGUGAAUGGAUUUAGGUUUCAGAUAUUUAUGGUCUAUCAACUGGGACGAUCCAAAAACGUACGACAGGAAAUGGUAAUCAUCAAGGCCCCAAACACCAUGGGAACCCGCAGGCUCCAAACAAUAAACCAACUGCAAUUUCCUCAUUAACUCAAGGUACUUCACGAAAACCCUAACGACAACAGCAGGGUAAUCCUCCUCUUUGAUUGUCCCCAAUUUCGCCAAGCAAUACAACCAGGCUGCGAAAUUUGUCUCGUGCCCAGUACCAUAGUCGAUUCGGCUCGAAUUCCCGAAGCUAUCAGUGAAAUAGGGCACAAUUUCCACGGUGGCUGAAUGAAGAUCCUGGGGGAGAAAUCGAAGCAUAAGAGAAUCGCUGUUUUCCACCAUCCGAGCAUGCCAUGUCCGAUAAGAAAGGUUUCCAUAUCGAGACGCCAUAUGCGCCGGUGGUAUAUCGUCAAUCCAUUGAAUCAGAGUAUCAAGAAUAGAGACGAUGGAAUUAAUGGUGUCCGAUUGGUAGCAAGGAUCGGA
rnacentral:misc_RNA from 1 species